GAUGAACGCUGGCGGCGUGCUUAACACAUGCAAGUCGAACGAAGCACUUUAUUUGAUUUCCUUCGGGAUUGAUUAUUUUGUGACUGAGUGGCGGACGGGUGAGUAACGCGUGGGUAACCUGCCUUGUACAGGGGGAUAACAGUUGGAAACGGCUGCUAAUACCGCAUAAGCGCACAGUAUCGCAUGAUGCAGUGUGAAAAACUCCGGUGGUAUAAGAUGGACCCGCGUUGGGUUAGCUAGUUGGUGAGGUAACGGCCCACCAAGGCGACGAUCCAUAGCCGACCUGAGAGGGUGACCGGCCACAUUGGGACUGAGACACGGCCCAAACUCCUACGGGAGGCAGCAGUGGGGAAUAUUGCACAAUGGGCGAAAGCCUGAUGCAGCGACGCCGCGUGAGUGAAGAAGUAUUUCGGUAUGUAAAGCUCUAUCAGCAGGGAAGAUAAUGACGGUACCUGACUAAGAAGCACCGGCUAAAUACGUGCCAGCCGCCGCAGUAA
rnacentral:rRNA from 1 species